CGGAGUAACACAACACAUGCAGAGAACUAUUUUUUCAACUCUCGCUAUAUAACCAUAAGAAGUUCGUUGCUCACUCUCUUUUCCGUUUUUAUGCCGUUUGUUGGUGUCUGGAAGUCUCUGCUUGGUGUUGGCGUUUUGAGAAUGGUCUGGUCAAGAGCCACGUGCUUUGUACGGAGCUGCAGUAGGACCUUGAUGACCGCUUGUGAAGGCAUCGUGAUGGGUUUCAUACCUGCAGCGAGGUUGCAGCUUGACCCUCUACCCACUUGACAGGGGAUUUGCUGAAAUGGUGACUGCUAGUAACGUGCAUCGUUGUAAAGAGAUGGCAGCUUGAUCCCCAAGCUACCCACUUGACAGGGGAGUAGCCGAAUGGUGCCCAGCAGGAACAUGUCAUUGGUAAGGCUUCAUGUAUGAAACUGUGUGCUGUUUUGCACAACAGCACAGUAACCUGUGCACAGGUUGCUUGAAUGGCCAACAUAACAGCAUGUGUGUGGUACCACACGAUCCCAUCCUUUCUGUGAUGACAUUCUUAUUGGUCCGUGUUUCUGACAUGUGAUGUAUUCUUCCAAUAUACUGACGCAUUUACUAUUAAAUGCUAAUAGUGUUCAUAGGGUUCUGUUUUGACACUUGUUUUCUUCCUGCAGUGCCACUUUCACUUUCUGCUGGGUUUGUUCAGCAUCUCUGAAUUUGAGGAAUUGCUUCAUUUGGGCCACCUUGGUUGUGCACUUCAUCAGGUAGGCCUCAUCAGUAAUCUUUGCUAGUGACUAUCUUGAGGAUGACACAGGCUGGAGUCUCUGAACAAAGUUGAAGACAGCGGUUUUCUGAUGCAUGCUUAUGAAAACCAAAUGCUUCUACAGUAAGAAGCAGCAUUUUAGUUUUGUUGCCUUGUGUUCUUUUGUCUAUGCCUUUCUAUACUGGAGGACAUCUUGGAAGGUGUGUUGCAUGAUGAUUUUCAUGGCUAGAGUGCUGACAUUGAUGACAGCAAUUCACAUAACUGAUAGCAUCAGUAGUCUGCACUACAUAAAAUUAUUUGUGCCCACGCAUAAUUGCCAAUGUUGAUUUCCUUUCAGGUGGUCUUUCUUUAGUAAUGCUUUAUUUAGACAAUUCAUUGUCUGGGAUGAAGGGGCUAAAGGCAGAUGCAACUGCCUGACAAGGGCCCCCCUACCUGAAGAGUCCAGCAGUGCAGGUGUCAUCAGUGGCAUCAAAAGCAGGUGUGUUCUCCUUUUUAUCUUCAUGGCGAUUUUUAUUUGUGAUGAAACUUAAUUGACACCUCUUGUCCUAAUUGUUUUUGCUGGAAAUGUAUUUCUGAUCUGUUUAAAUAAUUGGUACUCCGGUGCAGUUGUUGCAAAAUAUUUACUCCUCCUUUCAUAUUGCAGGUGAGUCCGGGGAUGUGCUUCGAUAUUGACGUCAAUAAAAAGAAUUUUGCUUCACUGUGUUUCUUUUUUUUUCCACCCAUCUGUGGAGCCCAUAGUCGAGGUGGCCUGUUCCGUAAUGUUGUAAGGAGUCUCCAAUUAUAAAUUUCAUCGUAGUCGUGAAUAGGCUUUGAGCCGGUAUACGCAUGCCGCAAUA